UACAGAGGGGGCAAGCGUUGUUCGGAAUUACUGGGCGUAAAGGGCGCGUAGGCGGCCUUCUAAGUCGAACGUGAAAUCCCCGGGCUCAACCCGGGAACUGCGUCCGAUACUGGAAGGCUUGAAUCCGGGAGAGGGAUGCGGAAUUCCUGGUGUAGCGGUGAAAUGCAUAGAUAUCAGGAGGAACACCAGCGGCGAAGGCGGCACUCUGGGCUGGAACUGACGCUGAGGAGCGAAAGCGUGGGGAGCGAACAGG
rnacentral:rRNA from 1 species